CACGGGGGGCAUCGAUGAAGAACGCAGCGAAUUGCGAUAAGUAAUGUGAAUUGCAGAAUUCAGUGAAUCAUCGAAUCUUUGAACGCAUCUUGCGCUCUUUGGUAUUCCGAAGAGCAUGCCUGUUUGAGUGUCAUGAAACUCUCACCUGCAGCACUCUUUUAUUAGAGGGCUGGAGCGUGGACGUGAGUGCUGCUGGUGCCCUCGCUGCAUCGGCUCACUUGAAAUUUAUUAGCUGAAUCCUCUAGUGUUGGUUCUACUCGACGUGAUAAGAUCUCCGUCGAGGACAGUGCUCCUUGUGGGCGUUGGCCACUGCUAGCUGUUGAUACGCUCCUAAUUAGCGCAGACUUCGAGUGCUGGCAACUUUUGACAACUGGCCUCAAAUCAGGUAG
rnacentral:rRNA from 1 species